rnacentral:rRNA from 1 species
AUUGGAAGUAAAAGUCGUAACAAGGUUUCCGUAGGUGAACCUGCGGAAGGAUCAUUAGUGAAACUUCAAAGUCGGCUCGUUUACUGUGCUGGUGGAGACACAUGUGCACGUUGCGAGUCGCAAAUCCACACACCUGUGCAUCUAUGACUCUGAGUGCCGCUUUGCAUGGCCUUGACCGGCCUGGCGCUCGAGUACUUUCACACACUCUCGAAUGUAACGGAAUGUCUAUUGUGCAUAAUGUACAAAUGAAACAACUUUCAACAACGGAUCUCUUGGCUCUCGCAUCGAUGAAGAACGCAGCGAAAUGCGAUAAGUAAUGUGAAUUGCAGAAUUCAGUGAAUCAUCGAAUCUUUGAACGCACCUUGCACCCUUUGGUAUUCCGAAGGGUACGCCCGUUUGAGUGUCAUUGUAAUCUCACUACAAUCGACUUUCUGGUCGUUUUGUAUGUGGACUUGGACGCUGCCGUGGAUUCAACGGCUUGUCUGAAAUGCCUGAGUGUACCCCGCCUUGCGGCGUAUUCGGUGUGAUACAUCUUCACCGGAGUUGAUCUUUUUUGAAUCGCGUCUGUUUGGUGUGGCUCUAUGCUUCCAACAGUCCCUUCAUGGGACAAUCUCUGACAAUUGACCUCAAAUCGGGUG